GUUGUGAGCUAAAAGGUGAAUAGGUGACAGCUGGUGGGAGACAUGUGAGUUUGAUGUGAGGUGUGAGUUGGGAGAUAGGUGUGGGAUAGAAGGUGAAUAUGUGACAGUUGGUGGGAGACAUGUGAGUUUGAUGUGAGGUGUGAGUUGGGAGAUAGGUGUGGGCUAGAAGAGAGACUGGUGACAGUUGGUGGGAGACAUGUGAGUUUGAUGUGAGGUGUGAGUUGAAAGAUAGGUGUAAGCUAAAAGGUGAAUAGGAGACAAUAGGUGGGAGACAUGUGAGUUUGAUG
rnacentral:sRNA from 1 species